rnacentral:miRNA from 1 species
AGCCAAAACCAUCGUGGACAGAGG